rnacentral:lncRNA from 1 species
ACUUUCUACAAUUAAUUAAGAUUAGUCAACAAUUGAGAGAGAUUUGAACUUAUAUCCUUUGCUUACUGAAAAGAUAAGUCGUCUCCUAUGGUGUUUUAGCUGUUAACCUUUCAUCUUGGAGGCUCUUGUAGUUAAUUAAGGAACAUUAGAAGAACUCCGGAUACCAUUAAAUUAUGAAAUUAUGGAGCAUUGGUUGUAUUAGUCCUCAUUUGCCCUGUAAAGUAGCUGUGCCCAUGGUUCUAAAGAAAGCAUGAAAGUGCCUUUUAUUCAUUGGGAGCGAAAACAGUGUGCUGAAAAAAGGAUUUAUGAUGAUGAACUGAUUGUCCCACAAAUGAGAAGGAAUCGCGGUUAAUUUUGGUACUACUGAAACAACCGAUGCUUUUGACGUCUUCACCUUGCAACUUUAUGCAGUUAAUUUUUGCCGUAACAAUGGGAGGCAAUUGGA